CGGCACUAGCGCGGUGGUCCCACCUGACCCCAUGCCGAACUCAGAAGUGAAACGCCGUAGCGCCGAUGGUAGUGUGGGGUCUCCCCAUGUGAGAGUAGGGAACUGCCAGGC
rnacentral:rRNA from 5 species